rnacentral:rRNA from 1 species
UACAGAGGUCUCAAGCGUUGUUCGGAUUCAUUGGGCGUAAAGGGUGCGUAGGCGGCGUGGUAAGUCGGAUGUGAAAUCUCGGAGCUUAACUCCGAAACUGCAUUCGAUACUGCCGUGCUUGAGGACUGGAGAGGAGACUGGAAUUUACGGUGUAGCGGUGAAAUGCGUAGAUAUCGUAAGGAAGACCAGUGGCGAAGGCGGGUCUCUCGGACAGUUCCUGACGCUGAGGCACGAAGGCCAGGGGAGCAAACGGGG